AAGAUACAAAGAAUUUUAAAGUUGACCAGAGCUUUUMCCAAGGGACCUUUGGCUGAAUUGAUUCGUUAUCAAAGUGAUAUAUCAGCAUGGGACUGUUUAAUGCAUAAUAAUGGCCUAUUACAUUGCAUGAACUGCUUCUGAUUUCGAUCUCCAUCACAAGUUAAGAAUCCAGCAUUAGAAAAACGUUAGUCAUAGACAUACCUCCAUUAGCGACACAAAACAGUAGAUUCCUUCGCCYUUUUCUUUAUGAGGACAUGAAACCUGGAUGAAACAAUCCAUGGCCAGCACUAAGAUGACAGCUAUCAAGACGUGCAUAAAAGACCUUAUUGAUCUUGGUGCAAUGUUUUCUCAUUUCAGACUACGAGGAUUAUACUUGAGGGCGAUGGCGAAACCGGCCUGAAUGCACACCCC